GCUGGCGGCAGGCUUAACACAUGCAAGUCGAGCGCCCCGCAAGGGGACCGGCAGAAGUUUGAGUAACGCGUGGGAAGCUAGCCAGGUCUACGGAACAACUCCGGGAAACUGGAGCUGGUACCGUAUACGUCCUUAUGGAGAAAGAUUUAUCGGAGAUGGGUGAGCCCGCGUUGGAUUAGCUAGUUGGUGUUGUAAUGGCCUACCAAGGCGAAGAUCCAUAGCUGGUCUGAGAGGAUGAUCAGCCACACUGGGACUGAGACACGGCCCAGACUCCUACGGGAGGGAGGUGUGGGGAAUAUCGGACAAUGGGCGCAACCCUGAUUCAGCCAUGUCGCG
rnacentral:rRNA from 1 species